UACAACAUAGAGUUAAUGCUUCAGAUCCCAUUAGAACUCUACAGUUAAGCGUGCUCAUGAUAGAGUAGUACUGGGAUGGGUGACCACUCGGGAAGUCCUAGUGUUUUAC
rnacentral:rRNA from 1 species